UACGUAGGGUGCGAGCGUUUGUCCGGAAUUAUUGGGCGUAAAGGGCUCGUAGGCGGUUUGUCGCGUCGGGAGUGAAAUCCACUGGCUUAACUGGUGGCUUGCUUUCGAUACGGGCAGACUGGAGGUAUGCAGGGGAGAACGGAAUUCCUGGUGUAGCGGUGAAAUGCGUACGAUAUCUGGAGGAACACCGGUGGCGAAGGCGGCAUCCUGGACCAUACUGACACUGAG
rnacentral:rRNA from 1 species